rnacentral:rRNA from 1 species
CCUACGGGAGGCAGCAGUGGGGGAUAUUGCACAAUGGGGGAAACCCUGAUGCAGCGACGCCGCGUGGGUGAAGAAGCGCCUCGGCGCGUAAAGCUCUGUCAGCUGUGAAGAAAAUGACGGUACCUGCAGAAGAAGCCCCGGCUAACUACGUGCCAGCAGCCGCGGUAAUACGAAGGGGGCAAGCGUUAUCCGGAUUUACUGGGUGUAAAGGGGGCGCAGACGGCGAUGCAAGCCAGGAGUGAAAGCCCGGGGCCCAACUCCGGGACUGCCCUUGGAACUGCGUGGCUAGAGUGCAGGAGGGGCAGGCGGAAUACCUGGUGUAGAGGUGAAAUGCGUAGAUAUCGGGUAGAACACCAGUGGCGAAGGCGACCAGCUGGACUGCAACUGACGUUGAGGCCCGAAAGCAUGGGGAGCAAACAGGAUUAGAUACCCGUGUAGUC